GGGAUUGUAGUAUAGUGGUCAGUACUUCUCGUUGUGGUUUCCGAACUUACAGCGGCCGAGAGGACCCAGGUUCGAUUCCUGGCAAUCCCA
rfam:Thielavia terrestris NRRL 8126 chromosome 1, complete sequence.